AUGAUUGUGUGUUUUCUCUCAGCUAGGAUGAUGGCUCUGUUCAAGGAUGAUUGGAGGAGAGAACAGUUCCAGAAUGGUGAGUCUGUGCUGGUCCAACAGAGGCCCUGCUCAUUGUGGGGGAGUGUCAGGGGAGGACGGGUGCAGGGGAGCUUCGCAAAAGGGAGACCCUCUGGCCCAAGCCUACUGACCUUUCCCAGAAACGUGAUGACCACUUUUCUUUGCACUAACUCUGACUCUGGAUGCAGCCAGAUAUGAUGGCAAGUCCCAUUGAUAGUUUUCACAUCAUUGUAUUUUUGGCAUGCUCCAUCUGUUUCUUUACCACGUGUCUUUGAUGCUCAGUGAUCAACUUUCUCAACACCAACCUACACAUAUAAACUUAUGUGUAAACGCCCCCUACAUGUAUACCGUGACAUCUUAAGGUUUUCAUUUCGUUGUUAUUUCAACUGACAUUUAUCAUCCUCGCAUGUUAUUCCUUGGAUUUUUCGUAUCCUUGCUUCUCAAGCAGAAAAUUCCUUUUCACCAAAUAUAGCCUAAUAAUUAACUUGUAAAAUUUUGCUGAUUUCAAGUUUCUUUGUCCAAAAUAUUUUCUGUCAUUUGACUGAGAAGCCCAUUCACUGCGAAUUAAUUUUAUGUCUUUUCCUUUCAUCUGACGUUGUGAAAGUAAACGUCAUCGAGGUAACGUUAAUGAUCAAACUCCCAUAAGAUACAGUUACGCAGUAGUCGCGGACAGAAUGCUGUGACCAGAGGCCCCCGUCACCCUGACCUGACCUGACCUGACCUGCGUGUCCUGUAAAAGCGCUAGUUCAGGAUUCUUUAAUUCAGGGUCUCGUGGCUUUAUCGAGCAAAGCCACCACGGUAGGGACAUUGAGGCUAUUUACUAAGCACAAGUCACACAACUUAUACCAUAGAAACUGAAACUGAGGAAGGACAGACCAAAUAUUUUCAAAAGGAAUCAUGAACAGAUUUAUCAGGUUCAUUACCAGCAAUAAAGUUCUCCUUUUCUCAAUUGAAAACAUGUAUCCACUCAUGGAAUAUGAUCCAUUUCUCAAAAGGGAGCUUUCAGACACUGUAUGUGUGCGUGCAUGUGUUUAUUUCUGUCAGUGUGUCUGUGUUCUGUUUUUUCUUGCAUCUGGAUAAUGUAAUUUUACUAAAAAAUG
rnacentral:lncRNA from 9 species